GACAGAUUGAUGAAGGGGGGGGGGAGAUGAGAUCGACAUCUCGAACCAGAGUCUAGACAGACAGAUCGAGCGAGAUCGAAAGGGAGAGGGAGAGAGAGAGAGUUCGUGACAGACAGAGGGAGUGAGGGAGAGAGAGGGACGAACCUGAUCGUGAAACUGAUCGACGAUCGGCGAGCUGCUUCUCCUCCUCCUUCGCGGCUGCGUCGAAUACCUAGGUAAGAUAGAGUUUGGUUUAUUAUUUUUCUUUUUUUUUGUGUUUUAUUUCAUCUUUAUUUUCAUAUUUUACAAUUUCACCCCAUUUUAAGUUUUUUAAAUUAUUUUUUUGCCCCUGCUGUAUCCAUACCGUAUCCAUACCGUAUUUAGACCGUAUCCUCGCGUAUCCGAGACGUAGCCGAAAUUCAAAAAUUAAAAGAAAAAAUCGGAUAUUUCAUUUCCUGUAUCUGAUACGUAUCCUCGCAUAUCGGGCGCGUAUCCGUAUCCGAUAUGUAUCCGAUACGCAUACGUGACCUAUUUCGGAGUAUCCGUGCUUCAUAGCUGCUGCCUAUUUCUUCUUCAUUAUAGUGAAUUUUUUUCCAAGUUUGUUUCUGAGGGGCUUGAAGUUUGCUGUUGAAGCUUAUAUCUAAUAGAACACACCUGCUAUUUAUGUAACCCCCCACCGGUCCAAACGCAAAAUGGCACUGCUGUUUCCAGUUGUUUCCACUCAUCUGUAUCUUCUUGCAAUUUGUGACCCUGGAUGGAAACAGUCAAGGGUUGGGACUGAAGGUUGGUGUUUUAAAUGACUAUUUGAAUAGCUUGUAGGUGGGGAUGUGACUUGGCUAUUUGGGAGUACUGGAGAAGUGCAUGCAUCUGGUUGUCUCUAGUUCUACCUCCCUCUGAGCCUUCCACCUUGCGCUUUAUUCUCACGUUUGGUUGGGUUUUCAGUUUGUUAGCAAGGAUUUAAAGAGGUACAUGUUUAUGUUUUGUCCCGUACCCUCUUUUCUGGUUUUGUUCUGUUGGGAUAAGGUGGAAACUCUGAAGUUUGUUACUUGCUUCUUGAUUUGGCAGCUACAAUAGUUAGCCUGUUUUUUGUUUUGAGGGAAAUAGUUACUCUGUUUUUGUAGUAGUACAUUCUCUCUCAGGGCUCUCUCAGGGUUCCAUCAGUUGUCUUGGCUUGAUUUCAUCUUUAGGCGUCAUGUGUUUAGUCAGUUAAAUCCUGUAACUUGAGCUCUAUUGCAUUAGAUGAUGAGAAAAGCAUGGCAUCCCCUAUUUGUAGGCUCAAAUCAGAGCACA